ACCCAUCCACUGAAACGCAGCGUUUUACACUUCUUAACUCAUGGUUCAGAGUAGCAGAGCGUCACAGAAGAAAUGGAACGUUUAUCAAUGUGCGGUUGUGUUGUUCCAUUUCGAAAAGCCGUUAAAACCGUUAACCACCGCCACAACUUCAACUUCACGGUGAAGAAUAGCCGCACCGGAGAGGAUGCUCCCCUCUCCAGUUCUUCCUCUGCUUACUCUAUUCUUGGCGUCCACCCAACUUGCUCGGCCGCCGAGCUCAAAGCCGCUUUCCGAGCCAAAGUGAAGCAGUUUCAUCCUGAUGUUAAUAGGAAUGCAAAAGGUUCUGAUACCAUGAUCCGCCGUGUCAUUCAGGCCUAUGAGAUGCUAUCCAAUUUCAGCCGGUCGGAGAUCAUCGAAGGGGAAUGUUUAGAUCCUUUUGAUAAUCCAGAAUGUGAAGCGUUUGAUGUUUUUGUUAAUGAGGCUCUUUGUGCUGGAAAAGGUUGUCCAUACUCAUGUGUACAAAGAGCUCCUCAUGCCUUCACUUAUGCUUCAACCGGGACUGCAAGAGUGACUUCUCAAGGACAUGGAGAAGAUUACCAAGUGCAGCUUGCAGUUGGUCAGUGCCCAAGAAGUUGCAUUCAUUAUGUUACACCUUCUCAGAGGAUUGUUUUGGAGGAGCUUCUUGACAGCAUCUUGAGCCAACCUUAUGAUAGUUCAGCCGAGGCAGAUCUGCUAUACUCUCUUAUAGUUAAAGCCAGGUUUGAGAACAAUCGAUAUCAAAAGCCAAAGAAGCAACCCAAAGCUUCAACACAACAUGUAGAUUGGUUUUGACCCUGUGAUUCUACAACUGAAGGAUUUAAUUUCAGAUGGUGAAUCUGAAUAUGGCUCUGCUUUGUCAGCAUUUCAUACAAAUGAAAUGUACCAGCAUUUCAUCGAUCCUAAACCUGGUGUGACAUACAAGCUUUAUACUCUAAUAUCAAGAGGAUUCAUGAGAUCAGAUGGAAUGGAUUGCUAGAACAUAUACCGGAUCGAAGACCCUUAUUUAUGACGACAUAAAUACAAACCUAUUUAGAAGUCAGAAGAGAAGGAGUAUUUUAAGCAUCUCUGGCUUAUAGGCCCGGCGGUGAAGUAUUUUGUCCAUGAAUCAUUAAAAACACCAGAGUUGCCAUUCACCCAAUAUAUAAGCACUUUUUUUUAAUAAAUGGCUGGUGCGGCUGCCCUCAAGCCUUGAUUAAUGAAACUGUCGAAUACAAGGGGGGGACUAUCACCUUUCCCGGAAAUAAGAACAACGGAUUCUUUCCACAGAGCAAGGCUAGCAUGGAAUCGAUCAAUGGUGAAUGACACACUCUUCGGAAUUGAUAUCUCAUGAAAUAGCUCAGCACUCGUAUCGAUGGAAAGAUUGACUUUCUUUUCUAAUUCAUUCUUUUCCUGAGCAUAGAUUAGUGCAUGCCAAUAAUAAAUUCCAUUGAAGCAUAAUUCAAAAGAAGGAAUCCAUGUUACAAAGCAUUUUGUAUCCAUGUUGACCUCUCUCCAAUAAUGAGCACCCAAGUUGUAUACCUCUGCUCUUGAAGGGUGCACCUGACCAAAAAGCUACAAUACAGACAACCUUGUAAACUGCUUUGGGAGCAUAGAUGAUAUGGUUUGCAAACUUCAAUUUCAGGAGCUUUUAUGUUUC